UACGUAGGGUGCAAGCGUUGUCCGGAAUUAUUGGGCGUAAAGAGCUCGUAGGCGGUUUGUCGCGUCGAAUGUGAAAACCCGGGGCUCAACUCCGGGCCUGCAUUCGAUACGGGCAGACUAGAGUUCGGUAGGGGAGUCUGGGAUUCCUGGUGUAGCGGUGAAAUGCGCAGAUAUCAGGAGGAACACCGGUGGCGAAGGCGGGACUCUGGGCCGAUACUGACGCUGAGGAGCGAAAGCGUGGGGAGCAAACAGG
rnacentral:rRNA from 1 species